UUAAGAGUCGUCAUAAGCAGUCUUUUAGCAUACAGUAAGAUGUGAAUUGUUUUGCAUACAACAUUCACCUAAAAAUAGCUACAAAAUAGUCUGUCUUUCAUUCAAAGCGAUUUUUCGUUUCUUUUCUUGCUGAGGAACAGAAUAUGCAAGCUUCUGAUAGCAAUUUAACAUUUUAAAGAUCAUUUAAAGAUACUCAUAUGGUACACAAUACGUUGACAAUUUUGUGAGAAUUCGUUUAACUUAAAUACUCAUAGAAAGGCACAGUAUUUGAGGCGGGGGGAGUAAGAAGGAGGGGAAACGAAAGAGCCAUAACCUCGUAUUAUACGUUUCCUUUUAUUCCAAACAUAUCGUCAGAAUAUGUAGAUUGAGGUGGCUCUGAAAUUGAUCAGGUUCAAGUUCAUUUCCAGUUUAUGAUCGUCUUCUGCCUCCUAGCGACGAAGCCCAGACACGCACAACCGGGACUUCACCGCAACUUGCGAAGGAUGCCUGUUCUCCUGACCAACAUUUCUAAACACGGGUCACAGACCACGGAAACGUUACGAUAUAUAAACACCGCCUGAAACUUCCAGCCAACUAUGAUUGAGAUGCUAACAGUUUUGAGAGUGCAUCGGAAUUAUCCCCCCAGCAAACAAUCCAUCUCGAGCGUUUGGGCAGCCUCCAAGGACCCCUCGAGCGGGCGCGAGCUCAGUUUAAGGCCUCUCCCUCGUGCAUCUGAUCUGAAUCCGCUGGUGAGUGUGUGCAUCGCCAGGUUCGCCAGCAUUGCAGCUAGACCGAGUAUCACCGGCAGAAGUCACGGAUCCCUUACCAGGAGAGGAUCGACACUUUUUCUAGAUAUUAUUAGGUAUUUGUGUCUAUUCAAAGUUAAAUUUUAAGUGCUUGAUUGAAGGUAGCGCGACGAUUCACACAAGAGCAAAAACAUGUACGCCAUACAUUUCAUGAACCCUUUAUUCGAUAUCAUAGGUGGUCAAUCGCUCUAUAAUAUGGUAUAUAUGCUCUCCAUCACAUGACAGUGGAAGCCUAAAACCUAGACAGAAUGCAGAAUCUGUAUGGCUGCCAGAAGUCGACAUCUAGUAUAAUUAUACAUACCCACCUGACUGAUUUUUUUUAAAUAAAAAUGUGCACGUAGUGUUCAUCCAUGCCUUUAAAUCUGUGUAUAAGUCAUAUUUACACUUUUACAAGUUACGUUAUAAUUGGGAAAAAUGUUAAAUCUUAUAAAGUAAUUAAACUAAUUUAAAAGUCAUCGUUAAUAAAUAUUGAUGUAUAUAAUAACCAUUUAUUUCUCAAAGUUGCAGAUGUACCAAUACUGAGAAUGCAUAUUCUGUAAAAUUAAAUAAAAGCAACAAUUAUACCAUCUAUAAUUAAGAGACAGAUAAUAAGAAUAAAUUACCAACUCAAUGCAUGAAUUUUGAUUAUAAACACACAGUAUGUUUUUCCAAGCAUUACUCUUCAUAUGUGCAUUAUGGUUUUAUAUAUAAUGUCAUCUAUUUAUUAGAUUAGUAUUGCAAACAAAUAAGGACAAUGUAAUGAACUUUCAAUAAAAGUGAUUGUUUCA